rnacentral:rRNA from 1 species
GACGAACGCGGGCGGCGUGCCUAAUACAUGCAAGUCGAACGAGAGCGACCGGUGCUUGCACUGGUCAAUCUAGUGGCGAACGGGUGAGUAACGCGUGGGUAACCUGCCCAUCAGAGGGGGAUAACAUUCGGAAACGGAUGCUAAAACCGCAUAGGUUCUACAGUCGCAUGACUGAAGAAGGAAAAGAGGCUUCGGCUUCUGCUGAUGGAUGGACCCGCGGUGCAUUAGCUAGUUGGUGAGGUAACGGCUCACCAAGGCCGUGAUGCAUAGCCGACCUGAGAGGGUGAUCGGCCACAUUGGGACUGAGACACGGCCCAAACUCCUACGGGAGGCAGCAGUAGGGAAUCUUCCGCAAUGGACGCAAGUCUGACGGAGCAACGCCGCGUGAGUGAAGAAGGAUUUCGGUUCGUAAAACUCUGUUGUUAGAGAAGAACAGCGCAUAGAGUU